UUGGAGGGCAAGUCUGGUGCCAGCAGCCGCGGUAAUUCCAGCUCCAAUAGCGUAUAUUAAAGUUGUUGCAGUUAAAAAGCUCGUAGUUGAAUUUCGGGGUUAGUAGGUUGGUCAUGCCUCUGGUAUGUACUGGUCUCACUGAUUCCUCCUUCCUGAUGAGCCGUAAUGCCAUUAAUUUGGUGUUGCGGGGAAUUUGGACUGUUACUUUGAAAAAAUUAGAGUGUUUAAAGCAAGCUAACGCUUGAAUACAUUAGCAUGGAAUAAUGAAAUAGGACGUUCGAUCCUAUUUUGUUGGUUUCUAGGAUUGACGUAAUGAUUAAUAGGGAUAGUUGGGGGCAUUAGUAUUCAAUUGUCAGAGGUGAAAUUCUUGGAUUUAUUGAAGACUAACUAUUGCGAAAGCAUUUGCCAAGGAUGUUUUCAUUAAUCAAGAACGAAAGUUAGGGGAUCGAAGACGAUCAGAUACCGUCGUAGUCUUAACCAUAAACUAUGCCGACUAGGAAUCGGGCGUCGUUAUUUUAAUGACUCGUUCGGCGCCUUACGGGAAAC
rnacentral:rRNA from 1 species